rnacentral:tRNA from 1 species
CAGGGAGACAAAAACUGAUCUUGAUGUCUGAGUAAUUUAUUCUUAGACCAUGAUCCUGUCACGUUAGGUCGAUCGGUACCUCAAGUUGAGAGCUAAACAAAACUAAGAAAUUAGUCUUUAGAUUGGUAAUUAACUUCAGUUCCUAAACUUUUGUCUAGGUCACACCCCGCAAGGGUACUCCUGGGCCAUUAGCUCAGGUGGUUAGAGCGCACCCCUGAUAAGGGUGAGGUCCCUGGUUCAAGUCCAGGAUGGCCCAUUCGGUGUUGGGGGUAUAGCUCAGUUGGUAGAGCGCCUGCUUUGCAAGCAGGAUGUCAGGAGUUCGAGUCUCCUAACCUCCACUGACCGAACUUGAUUCCCAUCUCCAAUUUUUUUGGAGUUGAGCUCGAUUGGAGUGUGAUUUAGAUGUGUCCGCUGGAUGACCCCAGCUUCCUGUCAUUCCAAAUGAAAUCAGCAAUGUUUGCUUGAUGAAUUUGGUUGAUAAGAUGCUGGGCUCGGAUCAAAUGAUCAAGCAAUUGAUGAUUUGAUUUGAAGUUCUAGCAGAACCUUGACAACUGCAUAGGUGAGUCUGGAAAAAACAAAGUAUCUUACAGAUGCAUUGUUUUGAAUCUGAUCUUUUGAAAGGGAGAUUGGAUCUAGAACAAUGAAAAUUCUUUUGAGCAAGAGCCGAGACUCUUGAAUGUUCUUUGAUUGGUGACGAGCCAAUCAGAGUUUGAUCUUGUUUUUAGCAAUAAAAACUUGAGAAUCUGCUUUCAACGGCGGUAAGCGUUCAAGAGGUUAAUU